rnacentral:rRNA from 1 species
AGAGUUUGAUCAUGGCUCAGAGUGAACGCUGGCGGCGUGCUUAACACAUGCAAGUCGAACGAGAACGGAUUAUAGCUUGCUAUAAUUGUCAGCUAAGUGGCGCACGGGNGAGUAAUAUAUAGUUAACCUGCCCUCUAGAAAGGAAUAACAGUUGGAAACGACUGCUAAUGCCCUAUAUGCCUUUAAUACAUAAGUAUGCAAGGGAAACGCUUUAGUGCUAGAGGAUGGGACUGUAUGGUAUCAGCUUGUUGGUGAGGUAAUGGCUCACCAAGGCUAUGACGCCUAACUGGUUUGAGAGGAUGAUCAGUCACACUGGAACGGAGAMACGGYCCCGRCUUCUUCCGGUAGGAGGUCUGCGGUAUUAGCGUUCCUUUCGACACACGUGUCGCUCGCUCUCC